rnacentral:lncRNA from 1 species
GUUUCCUUCCAGCCACUCCCUCCCAGCAUCACCCCUCUCCUGACUUCUGACCCCCGAGGUUGCUGUGUUUGUGCUUGAUGUGAAGGAAUCCUGCUAUUUUGUGCUUGGUUCCUUUCUCCCAAUAUUGCAUGUGAGAUCAUCCGUAGUGUGUGUAGUGGUGGAUUGUCUGUCCUCGUGAUAUCGUAGUUCCCAGCUUAGGGCUAUUAUGGGUAGUCCUGCUAUGAAUAUUCUAGCAUGUGUCUUUGGUGAACAUAUGGAUGUGUUUCUUCUGGGUGUGUGACUAGGAAUAGCGUUGGUGGGUCACAGCGUAUGCCUGCGUUCAGCUUCAGUAGAUCCUGACCCACUUCUAAACGUGCCUAGCAGUGCUGGAGCCAUUUAUGGGCAUGUCAGCUGGCGGGGCUGCGAGCCUCCCUCCGUCGUAGCUCCCUUCUGUGAAUGGCCCCACGGGCAGCACAGGGAACAAUCCAACGAAAGAACCGAACCUGCCUUGGACAGCUAACUAACUGCGGUCUCAUUCUGUUUCCCUGAAACGUGGAAUUAAGUUUCGAAUACAACUUUCCUUCCCUCUUAACAACGAUAUUAUUCAUGUCUACAUUUAUUGCAAGCAUUUACCUAGAAGAUAAGGCCUAUUUCCUCCAAUAAGAUCUCCUGUCCUGACUCAACACUUAAUGGCACAGUGUCUCGGGUGCUUUCUUGAAACCUGGUGAUGUGAACAAAGAAUAAAAAUAGCUGCUUGAAAUGCCUCCAAAUGAGCAAAUGCAGGCAUUGUUGGAAUUCCAAAUUUCAGAGCUGCUUUCCGGAAUCCUCGUGGAUUAACGUAGCAGGAGUGGGUACUGAACAGCAAGGAUGGGGCUGGAACUGUAAACUCAAAAAGCAUGAUUAUAAAAGGGGCAUGUCAAAGGGCCAAGGAUCGCAGAACGAUCAGAGUUCAUAAUUUGGGGU